rnacentral:misc_RNA from 1 species
GGGCCGGCGGCGGGUCC